rnacentral:lncRNA from 1 species
UUCCUGGAUACUCAGUUUUCUGAUGGGCUAUAUCUCCCAGCUGUUGGUAGCAGGCAUUUUCUCAGCCUUCAGGUGAGCUAAGUUGUUACUUUCUUUCAUGCCCUCAUCCUGUAGGAAGCCUAGUGAAUAUAUUGCUGCCAUCUUAGAGCUCAGUGCCCUUGUGGCAAAACGGCACCAGCAGAUCUUCAUGCACAUGGACUUCCUGUACUACCUCACUCCAGAUGGGCAACGCUUCCGCAGAGCCUGCCGCCUGGUGCACAACUUCACAGAUGCUGUCAUCCAGGAACGGCGCCGCACUCUCCCCGAUGACGGUGUUGAUGACUUCCUCAAGGCCAAGGCUAAGGCCAAGACUUUGGACUUCAUUGAUGUGCUCCUGCUGACCAAGGUGGGUUUCUCUGGGAUCUGGAUUCAAGAGGUAGAAAGGACCUUGAUUUCAUAUUUCAAAUUGAAGACUUAGACUUGAUCCAGAGGGCACUGGGGAGUCAUGGGUGGUGUUUGAGGAAAGGAGGGAUGGAUUAGGGAUAUGUUUUAGGGAUGACUUUAUGGAAUGUAACCUGCAGGGGACUGCUAAGUCUACAACUGUGAAGGGCCUGAGAUUUUACUCUACUUAAUAAGGUAGUCAUGCGUGUGUGUGUGUGUGUGUGUGUGUGUGCGCGUGUGUAUUUAUUUAUUUGUAUAUUAGAAUCCAGAGAAGCCCAUUUGUUACUCACGGAAAUAAGGGUGGCCAUAGAAUUGUAGCCAUGGUUCCUCAUUCUAAAAUUCUUCUGAGAGCUACAUGAUGCUUUUAUCUGUACAUGCAACCAACCAUGCUUCCAUCAUAGGAGAGGUACCUCUACAUUAUGAAUCUUGGAACUUAUAUAGGACUGCUGAUACAUCUGCCCCUUCUUCUUCUUCUUCUCCUCCUCCUCUGCCUAUGUCUUGUCUUCCUCCCCUCCCCUUCCCCCUCCUCCUCCCUUCCCCCCUCCUCCUUUUCUUUCUCCUUCUUUCUCUUUCUUCUCCUUCUCCUUCUCCUUCUGUGUGUGUGAGAAAGAGAGAGGGAAGUAGAGAAAAGUGUUUUGGAGUGUAAACCAAUUGUCUUCACCAAGAAGGCAAAGUCUACAGGUUCUGUUGGCUUAUCACCAGGGGAGAUAAGGAAUCUCUGGAUUUACUAUCCAAGAAUGAGAGCAAAUGGCUCCAGAGCAAUGCUCAUUUCCAACUUCCAAGGGAAGUUGUCAUUCAGUCUCCUGUAAUCCAGGUGGCCAAUAACUUCUUUCCAGUAAGUCCUCACCAUGUAGAAACAUGAAGAUAUUCAUGGAUCACUGAUCCCUCUCACCAGGGACAAAACAGGAGGCAAAGAGGCCACGGAGGAGAAGGCCUGUGGGGUGGGGCCUCUGGUAAUAGUUUCUGGAUGGAUUAUGGAGCUUCAGAGAUUGUCUCAAGUUAGGCUUAUGAGCUCUCAGAGUGGAUAUGAUUUGCUGUGUGUGCGGGCGGGUGGGGUGGAGUGGUCUUAUACUCUCUCCAGGACAAAGAUGGAAAACAAUUGUCAGAUGAGGAUAUCCGAGCUGAAGCUGACACCUUCAUGUUUGGGGGUAAGCAUCCCAGUGUGGGACUGCAGGGGGUAGGAGUCUGUCCAAUCCCGGGGACUUGGCAGGUGGGUCCUGGACCACCCCAUCCCACCCCAUCUUCCCCUUCCUCCCUGAGGGCCUCAACAGAGGGCGCUGUCCGCCCUCUGGUGCUGAACAAGCCCAGAGACCCAAGCCUGUCUGGCUGCCUCUCAGGCCAUGACACCACGGCCAGUGGUCUCUCCUGGGUCCUGUACAACCUCGCGAAGCACCCAGAGUAUCAGGAGCGCUGUCGGCAGGAGGUGCAAGAGCUCCUGAGGGACCGUGAGCCUAAAGAGAUUGAAUGGUGAGUGCAGGUCCUCAUGUCCUGUUCUGGAACCCCUCUCAUUGGCUCUGCUCCCCUGCUGGGGAAGGGGAAAGAACUUUUUGUUGAUUGUGUCAUUAUUGCUUAGAGAGACUAGGAGCAGAAUCCAGAGGCCGGGGUCUGGUACCUAGCCUGGAGAGCAGGGGAAAGUGACAGAAAGAUCUGGACUGCUAAGAGAAUUAUUGACAAUUAUGAAGGCAGAUGAUACCACUUAGCACAUAUUCUGUAAGUGAACUUCCACUCCACUCCCUUACUUUUCUCUCCUAAAUCACACUCUCUCUGCCCCCCAAAUAUCUUCACUCCCUGAGUUUUUGCUUGUCUCUUGCCUCCUAACUCCUUCAAAACUGUUCAGCCUAGGAUUCAUGGGGGACACCUAGGGAUUGAAAUCAUUCAGUUCUUGUCCAGGAACACCUUCAUUCAUCCUGUCCCCAUUCAGAGAACACUGCCGCACUGCCUUUCUGUCCCCAGUUGUGUGCCAUCUCCAAUUCUACCAGCCCAUUCUGUGUCCUAGAGCUCCAGCCUGCUGGGGGAAUAGACUCAGAUCAGGACACCCUGGGUCCACCCCCUGGGCAGGGAUAGGAUGGAGAGUAAGAGAGGCAAGGAUAAGAGUAGAGAGAGUGUCUCAGCUGAGACCCUGAGUGAUGAUCAGUAGGUGUUUGGGUACAGUUGGGGUGCAGUUAAUUCAAGAGGACAGGGUGGACAAAAGGGAAGGGGAGGGGAGGAAUGGAAGAGGGAGAGGGAGAAGAGAGAGGGAAGGAGGGAGACAGGGAGAGAGAGAGAGAGAGAGAGAGAGAGAGAGAGAGACUUAAGUAGGCUCCAUGCUUACUGGAGAGGACGACAUAGGACUCCAUCACUUGAACCUUGAGAUCAUGACCUGAGAUUCAAUCAAGAGUCGGACACUCAACAAACUGAACCACCCAGGCACCCCCAGGAAGAUCUUUCUAGGGCUAGUGUGGGAAACAUACUGGAGAGGACAAGCUGUUGCAUGGGGACCAGGAAAAUGAUUCUGAGGCCUGGGACAGGCCAGGGUCUGGGGGAUGUUGAAGAGGCAUUGGACUGGACAGGCAUUUUUUACGUAAUAUUUUCCACUCCAAGCCUUCGCUCAGCACAGCAGUCCUGUGAGGUAGGGAAAUAUUUUUAAGCUUUUUCAACAAGACUUCAAACAAAAUUAUACACUUGGUAAAAAAAAAAAAAACUAUACAAAACAGAGUUUAGAGUAGAAAUGAAUUUUUUUUUUUAAAUUUUUUUUUCAACGUUUAUUUUUAUUUUUGGGACAGAGAGAGACAGAGCAUGAACGGGGGAGGGGCAGAGAGAGAGGGAGACACAGAAUCGGAAACAGGCUCCAGGCUCCGAGCCAUCAGCCCAGAGCCUGACGCGGGGCUCGAACUCACGGACCGCGAGAUCGUGACCUGGCUGAAGUCGGACGCUUAACCGACUGCGCCACCCAGGCGCCCCGAAAUGAACUUUUAAAAAAAUCCUUGCCCUAGGAGGAACACUUGUCAGUGAUUUUCUGUGUAUCCUUCCAGAAGACAUCUAUCUUUAUACCCACAUUUAUAUGAAAACUAUCUCCUCUCCCCUUCCAAGUGGGAAUUAAGGUCUACACAUUAACAACAUAUCCUUGAGAUCUCUUCCUUUUCCCAGAAUAUGAGUUUUUGAAAAAUAGUUUUGAAUUACAAAAGCAAUGAUGAGAACAAGUUCUUCUUGUUCUGAGACGUUACAAAGGAGACUAUGGUUAUCAUUAACAUCCUCCCCUGCCAACUUAAUCCCCUUUCUGUCUCCUGAGGGGUUUUUAAACUUUUAGACUCAUUGAUUUGCUAUGUCUCUUUCCAUAAUUAUCUAUCUAUCUAUCUAUUAUCUAUCAAUAACUAUCUAUCAUCUACCUAUGUAUCAUCCAUCUAUCUAUCAUCUAUAUCAUCUAUCUAUCAUCUAUCUAUCAUCUACUAUCAUCCAUUAUCUAUCUAUCUAUCUAUCUAUCUAUCAUCUAUCUAUCAUCUAUUAUCCAUCAUCUAUCUAUCACCUAUAUCACCUAUCUAUCACCUAUCUAUCAUCUAUCAUCUAUAUAAUCUUUUUGUCCAUUAACACAUUUUGCAUUUCCAUAUACAUACUGUUUGUAACUUGUUCCAUUCACUCAAAAGUGUGUCUUAUAGCUCCUUCUCUCUGUGUGCUGCAAAGCUUUCAGUGGUUUACUUGGUUCACCCCUUUGUUAAGGACCCUUAUGUUAGUAUUCUCAAUUAGAGUAGACAUUGCUGAAUUGCUUUCCAGAGUCUCUGUUUUGAUUUUCCUUUCAUCCUACAGUGUGUGAUAGGACUUGUGAACCAUAUUCCCCGCAUUCAUCCAUUCAUUCAUUCAGUGAUAGAGAUGGAAAGUGCAAGCAGAGGAGGGGCAGAGAAAGAAUCCCAAGCAGAGCCCAAUGCAGAGCCAAUGCCCACUGCCCAUGCAGAGCCCAAUGUGGGACUUUGACCCAUGAAUUGUGAGAUAAUGCCCUGAGCUGAGACCAAGAGUUGGAGGCUUAACUGACUGAGCCACUUAGGUGUCCCCCAUAUUCCUCCUUUAAAAAUUAAAAACAAUUUUUUAUUUGUGUGAGAGAGAGCAUGCAAGCAGGAAAGAGGAGUAAGGAAGAGGGUGAGAGAGAGAAUCUCAAGCAGGCUCCAUGCUCAGCACAGAGCCCAGUGCUUGAUCCCACAAGCUUAGGAUCAUGACCUGAGCUGAAAUCAAGAGUUGGAUGCUCAACCAACUGAACCACCCAGGUGCCCCCUACUUCCUCCUGUUUUGAUUGCUGUGUGAUAUUCUAACAUAUGGCUGUACUAUAAUUUCUCUUAACAUCUCCCAUUGAUGGGUAUUUGGAUUGUUUCUACUUUUUUACUAAAACAAACAAUAAGUUAGCAUCUGUGAACACUGGGCCGCACUUACACAUGUAAAUGUCUCUCCACUGCAAAUUUCCGGAAGGACAAUUGCUGAGUCAAAGACAGUUUCAGUUUUUGUCAUCUUAAUAGCUAUUUCAGAUCUGUUCCUAUCAGCUGAAUUUGAUGUUACCACCUUUCCCAUACCUAUAGAAUUAUUGUAUUGAAUUUUAAAUCUUUGCCAAUUUUUCAUAUUUCCUCUUUUAAUGAAUAUUUAUUUAAAUAAGGGGUUGAACAUCUUUUGCACAUUUUGGGGGCUACUCCCAACAUUUCAAAUACUGAGGUAUCAUUUAUAUACAUCAUAUUAGUUUCAGGUGUACAAACAGUGAGUUGAUAUUUGUAUAUAUUACAAAAUGAUCACCACAAUUAGUUUGCUGACAUUUUUCACCAUACAUAAUUACAGAAUUUUUUUUCUUGUGAUGAGAACUUUUAAGAUCUACUCUCUUAGCGACUUCCAAAUAUACAAUACAGCAGUAUUAACCACAAUAUUAUUAAUUAUAGUCAACUAUAGCCAAUACAGUAUUAUUAACUAAAAUACAGUAACUAUGUAAUGCUGUACAUUACAUCCCUAUGACUUAAUUAUUUUAUAACUGAAAGUUAUCCUUCACCCAUUUGCUUACCUACACCCCCACCCCCACCCCUCACAACAACCAACCUAUUCUCUGUAUCUAGGAGCCUGUUUUUGUUGUUGUUUGUUCGUUUCUUCAGAUUCUACACAUAAGUUAGAUCAUACAGUGCUUGUCUUUCUCUUUCUGACUUAUUUCACUUAGCACAAUGCCCUUAAGAUCCCUCCAUGUUGUCUCAAAUGGCAAGAUGUCUUUUUAUGGCUGAGUAAUAUUCCACUGCAUGUAUAUAUCACAUUUUCUUUAUCCAUUCACCUAUUGAUGGACGCAGCUGUUUUUCAUAGCCUUGGCUAUUAUAAAUAAUGUUGCAAUGAACAUAAGUUUACGUAUAUCUUUUUGAGUUAGUGCUUUCAUCUUCUUUGGAUAACUACCCAGAAGUGAGAUUGCUGGAUAGCAUGAUAGUUGUAGUUUUUAAUUUUUUUGAGGAAACUUCGUACUAUUUUCCACAGUGGCUGCAUGAAUUUAAAAUCCCACCAACAGUGCCCAGGGUUCCUUUUUCUCCACAUCCUCAUCAGCAUUUGUUAUUUCUUGUCUUUUUGGUAAUAGCCGUGCUAACAGCUGUGAGGUGUGAGGUGAUUUUUCCUUGCGGUUUUGACUUGGAUUUCCCUGAUAAUUAAUGAUUUUGAGCAUCUUUUCAUGUACUUAUUCAUAAUUUGUGUGUCUCUUUAAAAAAAUGUCUAUUCAGGGGUGCCUGGGUGGCUCAGUCAGUUGAACGUCUGACUCUUGAUUUCAGCUCAGGUCACGAUCCCAGGGUCAUGGGACUGAGACCCGCACUGAGCUCUGUGCUGAACGUGGAGCCUGCUUGAGAUUCUCUCUCUCUCUCUCUCUCUCUCUCUCUCUCCCCCCCUCUCUCCCUCUCUCCCCCUUUGCCACUCUUCCACACUGUCCCCUGCCUCCCCUCUAAAAAAAUAAAUAAAAAUAAAAUGUUUAUUCUGAUCAUUCUUCUGCAUACAUUGAUAAGCCAUUUGUAUUUCUUGUUAUGUGAUUAGUACUCAUCUUUAUUUUUCUCUUUGAGUUUUUCUCUUUUUUUCAUAUUUACUUACAAUAACUCAUUUAAAGAUUGCCUUUUGACUUUUGAGGGGCACUUCUAGUUAAUUGUUAUGGAGACAGAUUUGUCCAAAUUUUCUUUUACAGUCAUACUGUCUAGCCUUAUGCUAGGGUUUUGUGGGCUUUUCUUACCAGAUGUUAGGGCUUCACUUACUUGUCUCUCCUGUUCCAUGGGUCUAUUUUCCUAUUUUUGCAGCAAUGCCACACUGUUUUUUGUUUGUUUGUGUGUUUGUUUGUUUUAUCACUGCAUCUUUGUAAUAAGUCUUUUUUUCUUUAAAAUUUUUUUUAAUGUUUAUUUAUUUUUGAGACAGAGAGAGACAGAGCAUGAAUGGGGGAGGGUCAGAGAGAGGGAGACACAGAAUCUGAAACAGGCUCCAGGCUCUGAGCUGCCAGCACAGAGCCCGACGCGGGGCUCAAACUCACGGACCGUGAGAUCAUGACCUGAGCCGAGGUCGGCUGCUUAACCGACUGAGCCACCCAGGUGCCCCUGUAAUAAGUCUUAAUACCUGGUAGAGUGAGUUCCUUUUCUUUAAUAUUUCACUAAAUAUUUUUUCUUUAAUGGUUAUUUAUUUUUGAGAGAGAUAGAGAGAGAGCAGGGAAGGGACAGAGAGGGAGACACAAAAUCUGAAGCAGGAUCCAGGCUCUAAACUGUCAGCACAGAGCCUGAUGUGGGGCUUGAACUCAUAAACCGUGAGAUCAUGACCUGAGCUGAAAUUGGCCAUUUAACUGACCAAGCCACCCAGGUGCCUCUUUAAUAUUUCAUUUUUAAAAUGACCUAGCACUUCAUGAUCUUCUAUUCUUUUGGAAACGUUUUGGAUUAAGUUUAUCAAAUUCUUAAAACUACCAGGUAGAUUUUCAUUUGAAUUGAACAUAUUCUAUAGGUUGACUUGAAUAUAUGAUUGACUUGUGGAAAACAGAUUACUUCAUAAUAUGAAUGCAUACCAUUCUAGAAUGUGGAAGAAAUACCCCAUUUUUGGAUACUGAAAUACUCUUUAGUCUUUUAAUAAAGUCCAAAAUUUUUCUUAGAGAUCUUAUACAUUUUUGGUUAAAUUAACCCUAAGAUAUAUUUUUUAAUGUUUAUUUUUGAGAGAGAGAGAGAGAGAGAGCAAGUGCAUGCUCUAGUGGGGGAGGGGGAGGCAGAGGAUCUGAAGUGAGCUCUGUGCUGACAGCAGAGAGCCUGAUGUGGGACUUGAACUCACGAGGACUGAGAUCAUGACCUCAGCCAAAGAUGGACACUUAAAUGACUGAGCCACCCAGGCACCACAACCCUAAGAUACUUUCAUUGCUAUGGUGAAUCAUAUCUUCUAUUGGGAUUGAGAGAAGUUUAUAAAUUCAUUUGGAAUAUAGAGAUUUCAUAUCUAAGUUUAAUCCAGGUAUUUAUUUCUUCUUCUUCUUCUUCUUCUUCUUCUUCUUCUUCUUCUUCUUUUUCUUUUAUUUUUUCUAAUUAGUUGUUAUUUCAACAUAGAAAAACAAUUUUUUCAUUUGCAUAUACAUUUUGUGCCAGUGAACAUAGUAAAUACUAAGUAUGGAGUCUUGUAUCCAAAAACAUGUUUUCAAUAAAAGCUUUUGGAACAACUGGGGAGCUAUCCAGAAAAAACUUAACUCAACCUGCUUUUCAUGUAUUGUAACAUGACAACAUCAGGAUGGAAUCAAAUAUUUAAAAAUUUUUAAUGUUUAUUUAUUUUUGAGAGAGAGAGAGAGAAAGAGAGAGCACGAGUGGGGGAGAAGCAGAGAGGAGAGGGAGACACAGAAUCUGAAGCAGGCUCCAGGCUCUGAGUUGUCAGCACAGAGCCUGGUGUGGGGCUCAAACUCACAAACCAUGAGAUCAUGACCUGAGCCGAAGUUGGAUGCUUAACCUACUGAGCCACGCAGGUGCCCCAGGAUGGAAUCAAAUUUAAAAUAAAAAAUAAAAGUGCCUUAAACGCUUUAGAGAAAACUGUGGGAAAUUAUUUUAUAGCUCCAUAAUAAGGAAGCCCUUAUUUUUGACAAAAGUGCCAGGAAAUAUACAAGAAGAGAUUGCUGUACUGUUGCCUGAAAAAGAUAAAGAGCAGUGUGUAUAGUAUAUAGUAUGCUACUGUAUAAUUUUUUUAAUGCAAAAAAGUAGCUCUGGAAGAAUACAUUAAAAAAAAAAAAAAAGAACCUAGGCAAACUGUGAGGAUGGGAAAUGAGUGAGUUGAGUCGUAAGAAUGGUGUUUUAUAAUUUUCCAGUUUUGAGCCAGUUAACUAUAUCAUUAAAAUUUACAUCACCACACAAAUUGAAGGGGAUUAAAGAAAAAGAAUUCACCCCCACACCCCCUUACUGGAUCUUCAAUGUUUAUAAAAGGUUUCUGGUGUAUUCUCUUGUGUUUUCUAAGCAUAGAAUCACUAUCUGCCAACAAUGACACACUUACCCCCACAUUUCAGAUUGCCUUACUCUCUUUUUUUCUUGUCUAAUUGCAUUAGCUAGGAUCUCUAGUACCAUGAGAAAUAAAACAUUGGAUCUCUUUCUUUUGUUUCCUACUCAUUGCCUUUUGAUUUUGCUCUCUUGCAGUAAACAAUAUUUAAUUUUUAUGCAAAAUCGUAAACCUUUUUGUGGUUGGAUUUUUGGUCUUGUGCUUUGGACAGAAAACCUUCUAAAAAUACCCAGCUAAAUUUCCUCUCCUAUUUCUGUGAUACUGAUCUUCUUUUCCAAAUACCACUUUAUCGAGGUGUGAUGGACACAUUAAAAAGCUGUACAUCUUUAAGGCGCACAACUUAAUGGGUUUGGAGAUAUUUGAUCCAUCUGGAAUUUAUUUCGUUAUAGGGAGAGAUGAUCUCAUGGGGCAGUAGAGAACUGGGGUGGGGGUGGGGGGUAAGGGUCUCUGUUUUUGCUCCCUGGAUAACUGUUGCGGGGCGGGGGUGGGGAGGGGUCCUUAGGGACGACCUAGCCCAGUUGCCUUUCCUGACCAUGUGCAUCAAGGAGAGUCUGCGGUUGCACCCCCCGGUCACAGUCGUCUCCCGCUGCUGUACCCAGGACGUCGUGCUCCCAGAUGGCCGGGUUAUCCCCAAAGG